GCCAACGCUGCAAGAGUUGGUUGCUCUGCUCUAGCUCUGCUUGGGUUUCAGCGCUGUUUUACCUCUGCUCCGUCUCUGCUCCAAACGCAAACACAGCCUGAAGACCUUGUAGGACUGUAAGUACUGUAGGAUUAAUCAGGACAAACCAAUAAUCAAAAUGGUAUGAAAAAGAGGCUCGCGCUGUCAUGAUUUUCACACACAGCUGCAGACAGACACACACACACAUUGGGAAAUAAUGAGUGUAUCGGAAAAGUGAAAUAAAAUAAAAUAAAAUGAUAGGCAAACAGCAACUGGCAAAAGUGAUUAUAUAAAAGCCGUUACCAGCAAAGCCGCGAGCAAAAAAUAAAAAAAAAAUGUUGGAAAAAGGGGAGAAAAAAAGAAAAAAGAAAGACCCAAAGAAAAAACCGAGAAUAAUGCCAAAGAACGAUUUCGAUUUAUCAGCAAAAAAAAAAAAACAGAAGAAACGGUUGGAGAGGGAGAAAAUACGCGUUUUUAUCUCACUGCUCAAUUGAUUUACAUAAUCAACGAAAUCGCCUUUUAUUUCGCUGCCCCUCCGGCAAUCCUCGCCCCACAUACACGACAGCGCCAACCCCUUUUGCCCGAUUCUCUGUGCAUUUAAUUAAAUGCUGAUUAAGUUUUAUUCAAUGGAGCACACAGAUACACAUACAGAUACACAGAGCGACCGCCCCACACAGAGAGUUGUGGGAUAUACAAUAGUACAAUGGGAUGGGGAUAGUACGUAUACGUACAGUAUGCCAGUAUACAGAAUACGAGCCGAUGGUGAUGUGUGGCCCGUGCAUAGAUUCGUAGAUUAGUCAUUGAUAUUGGACAACGUGCUCGCAUCGAGGAAGGAGGAGUCCGGUUCGGCGCAUUUGUAAACGUGAAUAAUUUAAUAACGUUCUCAUUAAGAUAAUGAAAUUAGUUCAAAUAGUCAACGCUCAACGGCGGCCAGCAACGGUCAGAUAAUACAGCUGCAUGCCAAUACACUUUGAUUGGAAUGGCUUUUUGCAUAUAUAUAUACAUACGAG